CUCUGACUCUCAUUCCUAUCGUCUAAAUGACCUCCAACAACAAUGGAAACCUCUUGCAACCAGCCCCCUUCCUUUCGAUGUAGAGAUCAACGGCGAGUUUUCGGCGGCGGAAUCCGGCGGCCUCUUUGGUGGCGUCUUCUUCCUCUUUUCGGCAGCGGUCUCCCUCCUUGUUGAAGCACUAGAUAGGGACGGCGGAGUCCCGACGAAGCGAAGCAGCAGCAAUGGACCGGUGAGCCUCCAUCCCUACCGGCGAGUCACAUGGCCGUCACAACCGGCAAUGGCGAUCUCCUCCUCCCCCGUCGACGCAAGUAGCUUCGACAGUGUAGCUGGUCCCUUCCGGCAUUGCGGCGGUAUCGGUCUUCUCCAGUGGCGGGCAGCUCUGGCGGAUUCCUCUCCCCCGUCAGGCAUGAAUGGCAGAGCGGCACUAGUGCGACUUGGCAGUAGCGACGAUGGACCUUGGCGGUGAAGUUUAGCAGCAGCAACUUCUCUUCCUCGGCGGCGGUGAUGCUCUCUUCUCGGCCUCCAGCGAGUGUGGUGACUGCAUGGAUGGGUUGGCAGUAGCAUUUUCUCCCUUCUACUUCAGUAAGUGUAAUACAGUAGGUUCAUGGUUAUGGACUUGCUUUUGAGAUGAGCUUAGAGUUGGUGAUUGCUUGUGGAUUGUUAAAGCUUCAAGAGGUAUGGAGUAGAUUGAGCCGAGAGCGCGCUAGAGAUAGAUCUACCUCUCCCUAUGCUUAGUCUAGUGACCUGUAUGUUUUUCAGCCCUAUGCGGCGUAGACUAUGCUUUAUGUAUUGACUAUUUUAGUUAUAUUACUUUGAUUGAUUAGUAUUAUGGAUUCUUAGCCUGUGCAUCUAGGUUUGGAUUUGCCUUGAUGUAGCAUGACACCCUUUUGAGUACUAGUAUGCUUCCGCUUUAUUCUGUUGUUA